AUUGAACGCUGGCGGCAGGCCUAACACAUGCAAGUCGAACGAGUGGCGGACGGGUGAGUAAUGUCUGGGAAACUGCACGAUGGAGGGGGAUAACUCCUGGAACCGGUAGCUAAUCCCGCUUACCCUCGGAUGGGCCCAGAGUGGAUUAGCUAGUAGGUGGGGUAACGGCUCACCUAGGCGACGAUCCCUAGCUGGUCUGAGAGGAUGACCAGCCAUACUGGAACUGAGACACGGUCCAGACUCCGACGGGAGGCAGCAGUGGGGAAUAUUGCACAAUGGGCGCAAGCCGGAUGCAGCCAUGCCGCGUGUAUGAAGAAGGCCUUCGGGUUGUAAAGUUCUUUCAGCGAGGAGGCGUUACUCGCAGAAGAAGCACCGGCUAACUCCGUGCCAGCAGCCGCGGUAAUAC
rnacentral:rRNA from 1 species